rnacentral:rRNA from 1 species
AGAGUUUGAUCCUGGCUCAGAUUGAACGCUGGCGGCAGGCCUAACACAUGCAAGUCGAGCGGAUGAGAGGAGCUUGCUCCUCGAUUCAGCGGCGGACGGGUGAGUAAUGCCUAGGAAUCUGCCUAGUAGUGGGGGACAACGUUUCGAAAGGAACGCUAAUACCGCAUACGUCCUACGGGAGAAAGUGGGGGAUCUUCGGACCUCACGCUAUUAGAUGAGCCUAGGACGGAUUAGCUAGUUGGUAGGGUAAAGGCCUACCAAGGCGACGAUCCGUAACUGGUCUGAGAGGAUGAUCAGUCACACUGGAACUGAGACACGGUCCAGACUUCUACGGGAGGCAGCAGUGGGGAAUAUUGGACAAUGGGCGAAAGCCUGAUCCAGCCAUGCCGCGUGUGUGAAGAAGGCCUUCGGGUCGUAAAGCACUUUAAGUUGGGAGGAAGAGCUCAUAGCGAAUACCUGUGAGUUUUGACGUUACCAACAGAAUAAGCACCGGCUAACUUCGUGCCAGCAGCCGCGGUAAUACGAAGGGUGCAAGCGUUAAUCGGAAUUACUGGGCGUAAAGCGCGCGUAGGUGGCUUGAUAAGUUGGAUGUGAAAUCCCCGGGCUCAACCUGGGAACUGCAUCCAAAACUGUCUGGCUAGAGUGCGGUAGAGGGUAGUGGAAUUUCCAGUGUAGCGGUGAAAUGCGUAGAUAUUGGAAGGAACACCAGUGGCGAAGGCGACUACCUGGACUGACACUGACACUGAGGUGCGAAAGCGUGGGGAGCAAACAGGGAUUAGAUACCCUGGUAGUCCACGCCGUAAACGAUGUCAACUAGCCGUUGGGAUCCUUGAGAUCUUAGUGGCGCAGCUAACGCAUUAAGUUGACCGCCUGGGGAGUACGGCCGCAAGGUUAAAACUCAAAAUGAAUUGACAGG